AUGAUAGGAAAAAAGAUAGUAUCAAUCAAGAAACUAGCCAAAAAGGUGAAGCUUGUAGGUAGAGUUGACUCUGACCUUGCUCAAUACGGGUUGUUGAAGGAAUUUGAAGAAGAAGAUGAAGAAAAACACCCAAUUGGCAAAAAUAUUGAGUCCAAAAAACGUGCUGUUUUUGCACUAUAUGUUGGGGAGGAACGAGAGAGAUAUGUUAUGGUAUAA